AUGAACGCUGGCGGCGUGCCUAAUACAUGCAAGUCGAGCGAACAGACGAGGAGCUUGCUCCUCUGAUGUUAGCGGCGGACGGGUGAGUAACACGUGGAUAACCUACCUAUAAGACUGGGAUAACUUCGGGAAACCGGAGCUAAUACCGGAUAACAUGUUGAACCGCAUGGUUCAACAGUGAAAGACGGUCUUGCUGUCACUUAUAGAUGGAUCCGCGCCGCAUUAGCUAGUUGGUAAGGUAACGGCUUACCAAGGCAACGAUGCGUAGCCGACCUGAGAGGGUGAUCGGCCACACUGGAACUGAGACACGGUCCAGACUCCUACGGGAGGCAGCAGUAGGGAAUCUUCCGCAAAGGGCGAAAGCCUGACGGAGCAACGCCGCGUGAGUGAAGAAGGUCUUCGGAUCGUAAAACUCUGUUAUUAGGGAAGAACAAAUGUGUAAGUAACUAUGCACGUCUUGACGGUACCUAAUCAGAAAGCCACGGCUAACUACGUG
rnacentral:rRNA from 1 species